UGACUUGGGUCAUUGAUGGCCUGACGCGCCAAAUCUCCCCCCACGCGUGGCUGCAUCAUGUUCUGAACGUGGCGAACCAGUUACCAACAACUGCGCCGAACUUUGGGCAACAGGUUUUGAACAGUUAUGGUGGGAUGUGUGGAUGGCCGGGUCAAACAUCUUUUACAAUGUCCUACACAGGGCUCCCUUGACCUGUCAAACAGCCUUCACCUAUUCUGUGCGCGCUAUGUAUUCCUCCCAUGACUCCAAGCAGACCUAGACAGCUUUACCAAUGGAUGGGAUAAACAUUCUCUGCACAUUGAGCAAAAUCUGACCCCCAACCAGCUAUGGGAAAUGGGACAAGCACAGAAUCCUGUCACCUUCCCUGGCAAUGUGGAGGAUUUAAACAACUUGGACGGGGAUGAUGCCUGCCUCCCAGAGGAGCAUGGCCAGGGAAUUGUGAUCCCACAAGUGGAGUGCCACUGACAGCAGGAUAUGACACUGCUCAGAGCAGCCAUCGACCCAACCUCACCAUCUCGAGACUAUGGACAAGAUAUUUAUGCAUCUGUUUUGAACUAUGUGCUGCUACUUAUGGCUGAAUGAUUCAUAUAUCUCUGCUUGUACCCAAGGGCACAAUGGCCACUGGCCGCAAAAGGCAUGUUUUUUUUUAGGGGGCAUUAUGGCCAUACAAAGGGGAGGCUGCCGGGAAAUUUGUGGCAUUAUCAAGUGCUUGUCAAAUUGUGAAUGAGAGACUUAAGUGUGUACAGCCUGCGCAAAAAACAAAGCAGAG